AGCAGCCGCGGUAAUUCCAGCUCCAAUAGCGUAUAUUAAAGUUGUUGCAGUUAAAAAGCUCGUAGUUGAAUUUCGGGGUCAGUAGGCUGGUCGUGCCACAGGUAUGUACUGGUCUCACUGAUUCCUCCUUCCUGAUGAACCGUAAUGCCAUUAAUUUGGUGUUGCGGGGAAUCUGGACUGUUACUUUGAAAAAUUAGAGUGUUUAAAGCAGGCUAACGCUUGAAUACAUUAGCAUGGAAUAAUGAAAUAGGACGUUUGAUUCUAUUUUGUUGGUUUCUAAGAUCGACGUAAUGAUUAAUAGGGAUAGUUGGGGGCAUUAGUAUUCAAUUGUCAGAGGUGAAAUUCUUGGAUUUAUUGAAGACUAACUACUGCGAAAGCAUUUGCCAAGGAUGCCUUCAUUAAUCAAGAACGAAGUUAGGGGAUCGAAGACGAUCAGAUACCGUCGUAGUCUUAACCAUAAACUAUGCCGACUAGGGAUCGGAUGAUGUUAAUUUUUAAUGUA
rnacentral:rRNA from 1 species